rnacentral:rRNA from 1 species
GAUGAACGCUGGCGGCGUGCCUAAUACAUGCAAGUCGAGCGAACGGACGAGAAGCUUGCUUCUCUGAUGUUAGCGGCGGACGGGUGAGUAACACGUGGAUAACCUACCUAUAAGACUGGGAUAACUUCGGGAAACCGGAGCUAAUACCGGAUAAUAUUUUGAACCGCAUGGUUCAAAAGUGAAAGACGGUCUUGCUGUCACUUAUAGAUGGAUCCGCGCUGCAUUAGCUAGUUGGUAAGGUAACGGCUUACCAAGGCAACGAUGCAUAGCCGACCUGAGAGGGUGAUCCGCCACCCUGGAACUGAGACACGGUCCAGACUCCUACGGGAGGCAGCAGUAGAGAAUCUUACGCGAUGGGCGAAAGCCUGAUAGAGGAACGCCGCGGGAGUGAUGAAGGACUUCGGAUCGGAGAGCUCUGUUAGUAGGAAAGAACAAAUGUGUAAUUAACUGUGCACAUCUUGACGGUACCUAAUCAAAAAGCCACGGCUAACUACGUG